GGCGGUGCUGUAUUUUGGGGGGUUUUCACGCUUGUGCACGCGGUUUCUUCAGGUAUUUUCCCCAAGCCACGUAUUUCCAGCGUGCCUGGAUUAUGGUACUACGCGUUAACCGCCGUGUAAUUUAGGACAGUGCAUCUUGAAAUCAUGGUUCUUCCCGUAUCACAGAAUCACAGAAUGGUUUAGGUUGGAAGGGACCUCUGGAGAUCAUCUAGUCCAACCUCCCAUGCUCCCAUGCAAACCUGUGUGCUUUGGUAUACCCUAUCUGAUCUUCUGUAAUCACCUAAAGUUGAGGAAUCUCCUAUGGAGUACAAGACCUCUAACUUAUUUCAGUUCUUUUCUGUUACCUUGUUCUUUGGACAACAGUCUUGGGUUGUUCUGUAGUUGGUUUGCCCUUUGCUCUCUUCAAGAGAGCUCUUCAAGGUCUCUCCAGAUGAGAUCAAAGCGUCUGCAGUGCUGCAUGAUAUUGGCUCUGGCAUUGAGAGGUCUGGGAAAAAUGCAGCACUCCAUCUCUGUACCACUGCAAAGGAUAAGGUCACCUAAGACCUCAAAGUCUUACCCAUUAUUGUUUCCGAUGACCUACUAAAGACAAAGGACUACUGCCUAGUUGCUACUUUUCCAUGAAGAGCCUCUGCUAAUUAAGGAACCUGCAAUCCACCUGGGCACUCUUCACAUACUCUCAGAAGGCAGAUGCAACAAAGGAGUUGUUAGAAAGAAAGUCCUCUUUUGUAUAGCCCACCAAGUACUUAAAAUGCAAUCCAGUGCUUUACACAAGCAUAAUCAAGUUAAACUAUUUUUUCCAGUAGUUACUGUUUUCCUAGCUAGUCUUACACUAAGUUUGACAUCUAAACUUAUCAACCCGUAAAGCUACCUAAUAAGUGUGAAGACACUGAACUUUAAAGAAAAUUUUAGAUUCAGAAGAUUUGGAGAUGCUCACAUCCAUUUGUCUGCUGUUAUAGCUGGAAUGAAUGAUACAAGAUUUUAUAUUAGAAGAAGGCCUUGCGUUUGGACAGCUAUAGAAUGCCAAGGCGAAAGGUAGAAGCUGUAAUGAACAAAUCUAAUCUAUGGGUGGAAAUACGCAGAAGAUAUACCAAGGGCACAGCGAAAACAAGGACUGUCAGGUAUAUCUGGAUUUCUUUAGCAACCGCUUGAACUUCCUGGAGUACUUUGUUCCAGAUCCACCACUUGCUGUGAAAGGCAUCAAUCACACACCAGUUCUGAUGCUCUUUCUCAUAAGAAUUAACACCAUUUCUACUGAGGAUAAAGAAAAUUAUUUUAUUCCUCCGUGAAUUAAGAAACACUUAUAUUGUCUGGCGAACAGUAGAAGAUAUCCUGGGAAUAUUGUACUCAGCAGAAGUCAUGCCCAAAUGAAGAAAACAGAAAAGAACAUCAAUACUUACAUUGUGGUGAAAUGCAAAAACCACAAUAAGACAAGCCAAAAAAGCUUUGUUAAAAUAGAAAUACAUCAGGAAGCCUUUUCAAACACAUCAGGAAGCCUGCUAGAAAGUCUAUAGUGCCGAGGGAUAACUGAGAUGUAAGAAGAGCACUAAAGGCAGAAAUGGUCAUUGCAGAAAUGCUACAUGAAUUCCUUGCACCACUCUUCGCUAAGGAAGAACUUAGCAAUCUUCACAUCCUGUUAGUGAAAAAAAAAGCCUGAGAAAAUAAUAGUAUUUGCUAAUAAAAGCUCUCCUCUGAGAAAUCUGAAGUGGAACUCACCUUUACUUAUUAGGAGCCAUAUUGAUGUCUAUACCUCAGGAUUCAUAGCACAGGUAUUUGCCACUUGAGUUAUCAGAGUAACAGCUUACAGGGUGAGCUUAGUACAGCAGUACAAGUUCAUCACUAGAAUGCACCUUUUCCACUGAGGUUUCCAACUUGCAUCAGGAAAUACAGAAUCAAAGAAAUACCUGAACUCUCAUGUAUUAUAUGCAUUUUCAGAGACACAAUCUCUGGCACAAGCAGUUCAUAUAACCUAUUGAUAUCAUAUGGGCCUUGUCCCAAACUCCGUUGCAUUAACUUACUGUGCAUCAGCUGCUCUCUAGUAACUUAUCUUCAGGCCUUUUCUGAUAGUAUACGUGAAGUACUAUAUCUCACUUCUUUAGGAAGUUAGGAACCUUGAAUACAUUGCAUAUGUGCAACUGUAAAUAUCUGCAUAGCAUUUUCAAAUUAUUUCAGGUGGGAGACUGUGCAGCUGCAACAACACUGAGAGUGUGGCUUAGCACUCUCACAUUUCUGUGCAGGUUGGGAACAUAGUUGGAAAUACAGGCACAUACACUAAACUGUGCCUGUGAAGUAAGCCUAUGGGAGAUACAGAUCAACUCAAUAGCACACGCUCAGGGAAUCCAGGGUGAAAUAGCAGUACUGCGCUAGAGCAGUGUGUUUGAUUUUUUAUGGCUGUAUUCAGUCUCUCCAUCUAGUUGCCUUUUGUCCGGGACUUUCCAGAAGACUGCCUGUUGUCUAACAACACAGUUGCUUUGCUUGGGCUGCUAGGUAUCUAAAACUUCUGUACAAAUUAACUGCACUGAGCGGUGCUAACGUGGAAGAAGCAGAGCAGGAGAGGAGCGCUAAAGUCUCUUCAGUUCCCAUGGUAAAUCUGAGAAAGCUGAGAAAGUGUCAGGCUGUGGCUCCUGGCUCCCAUUAUC